rnacentral:rRNA from 1 species
AGUGAACGCUGGCGGUAGGCCUAACGCAUGCAAGUCGAACGGCAGCACAGUAAGAGCUUGCUCUUACGGGUGGCGAGUGGCGGACGGGUGAGGAAUACAUCGGAAUCUACUUUUUCGUGGGGGAUAACGUAGGGAAACUUACGCUAAUACCGCAUACGACCUACGGGUGAAAGCAGGGGAUCUUCGGACCUUGCGCGAUUGAAUGAGCCGAUGUCGGAUUAGCUAGUUGGCGGGGUAAAGGCCCACCAAGGCGACGAUCCGUAGCUGGUCUGAGAGGAUGAUCAGCCACAAUGGAACUGAGGAAAGGUCCCGAAUCCUACGGGAGGCAGCAGUGGGGAAUAUUGGACCAUGGGCGCAAGCCUGAUCCAGCCAUACCGCGUGGGUGAAGAAGGCCUUCGGGUUUUAAAGCCCUUUUGUUGGGAAAGAAAAGCAGCAGGUUAAUACCCCGCUGUUCUGACGGUACCCAAAGAAUAAGCACCGGCUAACUUCGUG